UCUUCAGUCUUUUUUUUUUUUUUUCAAACUCUUCUGAUUUUUUACCUAUUCUUUAUGAAGUUUACCUUCAAAAACAAAACUCAGCUGUCACCUCCUGGUCUUUGAGGCGCACUUAAAGAAG
rnacentral:ribozyme from 1 species